UACGAAGGGGGCUAGCGUUGCUCGGAAUCACUGGGCGUAAAGGGCGCGUAGGCGGGCGUUUUAAGUCGGGGGUGAAAGCCUGUGGCUCAACCACAGAAUGGCCUUCGAUACUGGGACGCUUGAGUAUGGUAGAGGUUGGUGGAACUGCGAGUGUAGAGGUGAAAUUCGUAGAUAUUCGCAAGAACACCGGUGGCGAAGGCGGCCAACUGGACCAUUACUGACGCUGAGGCGCGAAAGCGUGGGGAGCAAACAGG
rnacentral:rRNA from 1 species